rnacentral:tRNA from 1 species
UGGGGUGUGGCUCAGCGGUAGAGUGUUUGCUUAGUAUGUGUGAGGCCCUGGGUUCGAUUCUCAGCACCACAU